rnacentral:rRNA from 1 species
AUGACAAAUAUGGUUCGAUGGCUCUUCUCUACUAACCACAAGGAUAUUGGGACUCUCUAUUUCAUCUUCGGUGCCAUUGCAGGAGUGAUGGGCACAUGCUUCUCCGUACUGAUUCGUAUGGAAUUAGCCCGACCCGGCGAUCAAAUUCUUGGUGGGAAUCAUCAACUUUAUAAUGUUUUAAUAACGGCUCAUGCUUUUUUAAUGAUCUUUUUUAUGGUUAUGCCGGCGAUGAUAGGUGGAUUUGGUAAUUGGUUUGUUCCGAUUCUGAUAGGUGCACCUGACAUGGCAUUUCCACGAUUAAAUAAUAUAUCAUUCUGGUUGUUGCCACCAAGUCUCUUGCUCCUAUUAAGCUCAGCCUUAGUAGAAGUGGGCAGUGGCACUGGUUGGACAGUCUAUCCGCCCUUAAGUGGUAUUACCAGCCAUUCUGGAGGAGCAGUUGAUUUAGCAAUUUUUAGUCUUCAUCUAUCAGGUAUUUCAUCAAUUUUAGGUUCUAUCAAUUUUAUAAAAACUAUCUUCAACAUGCGUGGACCUGGAAUGACUAUGCAUAGAUUACCACUUUUUGUGUGGUCCGUUCUAGUGACAGCAUUCCUACUUUUAUUAUCACUUCCGGUACUGGCAGGGGCAAUUACAAUGUUAUUAACCGAUCGAAACUUUAAUACAACCUUUUUUGAUCUUGCAGGAGGGGGAGACCCAAUAUUAUACCAGCAUCUCUUUUGGUUCUUCGGUCAUCCAGAGGUGUAUAUUCUCAUUCUGCCUGGAUUUGGUAUUAUUAGUCAUAUCGUAUCGACCUUUUCAAGAAAACCGGUCUUCGGGUAUCUAGGCAUGGUUUAUGCCAUGAUAAGUAUAGGUGUUCUUGGAUUUCUAGUUUGGGCUCAUCAUAUGUUUACUGUGGGCUUAGACGUUGAUACGCGUGCCUACUUCACCGCAGCUACCAUGAUCAUAGCUGUGCCCACAGGAAUCAAAAUCUUUAGUUGGAUCGCUACCAUGUGGGGAGGUUCGAUACAAUACAAAACACCCAUGUUAUUUGCUGUAGGGUUCAUCUUUUUGUUCACCAUAGGAGGGCUCACUGGAAUAGUUCUAGCAAACUCUGGGCUAGACAUUGCUCUACAUGAUACUUAUUAUGUGGUUGCACAUUUCCAUUAUGUACUUUCUAUGGGAGCCGUUUUUGCUUUAUUUGCUGGAUUUUACUAUUGGGUGGGUAAAAUCUUUGGUCGGACAUAUCCUGAAACUUUAGGCCAAAUCCAUUUUUGGAUCACUUUUUUCGGGGUUAAUCUGACCUUCUUUCCCAUGCAUUUCUUAGGGCUUUCGGGUAUGCCACGUCGCAUUCCAGAUUAUCCAGAUGCUUACGCUGGAUGGAAUGCUCUGAGCAGUUUCGGUUCUUAUAUAUCCGUAGUUGGGAUUCGUCGUUUCUUCGUAGUUGUCGCAAUCACUUCAAGCAGUGGAAAGAACCAAAAAUGUGCGGAAAGUCCUUGGGCUGUUGAACAGAAUCCAACCACACUAGAAUGGUUGGUACAAAGCCCUCCGGCCUUUCAUACUUUUGGAGAACUUCCUGCGGUAAAAGAGACAAAAAGCUAA